rnacentral:rRNA from 1 species
UACGAGAGGUCCAAACGUUAUUCGGAAUUACUGGGCUUACAGAGUUCGUAGGCGGUUCUACAAGUGAGGUGUGAAAGCCCUCGGCUCAACCGAGGAACUGCGCUUCAAACUGUAGAACCAGAGGGAGAUAGAGGUGAGCGGAACUGAUGGUGGAGCGGUGAAAUGCGUUGAUAUCAUCAGGAACACCGGAGGCGAAGGCGGCUCACUGGGUCUCUUCUGACGCUGAGGAGCGAAAGCUAGGGGAGCAAACGGG